UGGGGAAUUGUUCGCAAUGGGCGCAAGCCUGACGACGCAACGCCGCGUGGAGGAUGAAGAUCUUCGGGUCGUAAACUCCUUUCGAUCGAGACGAACGGCCCCUGGGUUAACAGCCUGGGGGAGUGACGGUACCGAGAGAAGAAGCCCCGGCUAACUCCGUGCCAGCAGCCGCGGUAAUACGGGGGGGGCAAGCGUUGUUCGGAAUUACUGGGCGUAAAGGGCUCGUAGGCGGCCAACUAAGUCAUGCGUGAAAUCCCUCGGCUUAACCGGGGAACUGCGUCUGAUACUGGAUGGCUUGAGUUCGGGAGAGGGAUGCGGAAUUCCAGGUGUAGCGGUGAAAUGCGUAGAUAUCUGGAGGAACACCGGUGGCGAAGGCGGCAUCCUGGACCGAUACUGACGCUGAGGAGCGAAAGCCAGGGGAGCAAACGGG
rnacentral:rRNA from 1 species